UUGAAUUCCUUAGUACGUAGAAAAAACGAGAAUGUAAGCGUUUUAAGUUCAAACUUCUCACAAAAUCAUAAAAAUCACGGAAUUUCAAAAGGCAUUUUAUGUUUAACAGAACUUCGUUUAGAAUAAUUGUUUUAGAUUCUGAACCUAGCAAAGAAGCUAUUAUUAGUUUUAUUAAAAAAGGUUUUUAUCUCAGGAAAUAAUU